rnacentral:tRNA from 1 species
GGAGUUGUGGCUCAGUGAUAGAGCACUUGCUUAGCAUGUGAGAGGCCCUGGGUUGGAUCCUCAGCACCA